GACAGAGGCCUCAAGCGUUAGGCGGAAUCACUGGGCUUAAAGCGUGUGUAGGCGGAUCGUUAAGUGCCUUGUGAAAUCCCACGGCUUAACUGUGGAACGGCUGGGCAUACUGGCGGUCUUGAGCCAUCUAGGGGCGACUGGAACAAACGGUGGAGCGGUGAAAUGCGUAGAUAUCAGGAGGAACACCAAUUGCGAAGGCAGCUCGCUGGGACGUUACUGACGCUGGAGACGCGAAAGCGUGGGGAGCAAACAGG
rnacentral:rRNA from 1 species